UGUGGCAGAAUAGUGCAAUAAAUUUAAGUCUUAUUUAUAAAGUAAAACUUUCCUUAGAA
rnacentral:tRNA from 1 species